rnacentral:rRNA from 1 species
AGUGAACGCUGGCGGUAGGCCUAACACAUGCAAGUCGAACGGCAGCACAGUAAGAGCUUGCUCUUACGGGUGGCGAGUGGCGGACGGGCGAGGAAUACAUCGGAAUCUACUUUUUCGUGGGGGAUAACGUAGGGAAACUUACGCUAAUACCGCAUACGACCUACGGGUGAAAGCAGGGGAUCUUCGGACCUUGCGCGAUUGAAUGAGCCGAUGUCGGAUUAGCUAGUUGGCGGGGUAAAGGCCCACCAAGGCGACGAUGCGUAGCUGGUCUGAGAGGAUGAUCGGCCACACUGGAACUGAGACACGGUCCAGACUCCUACGGGAGGCAGCAGUGGGGAAUAUUGGACAAUGGGCGCAAGCCUGAUCCAGCCAUACCGCGUGGGUGAAGAAGGCCUUCGGGUUGUAAAGCCCUGUUGUUGGGAAAGAAAAGCAGCAGGUUAAUACCCCGCUGUUCUGACGGUACCCAAAGAAUAAGCACCGGCUAACUUCGUG